rnacentral:rRNA from 1 species
UACGAAGGGGGCUAGCGUUGUUCGGAAUUACUGGGCGUAAAGCGCGCGUAGGCGGUGAUCUUUGUCGGAGGUGAAAUCCCGAGGCUCAACUUCGGAAUUGCCUUUGAAACGGGAUCGCUUGAGUCCGAGAGAGGAUGGCGGAAUUCCUAGUGUAGAGGUGAAAUUCGUAGAUAUUAGGAAGAACACCGGUGGCGAAGGCGGCCAUCUGGCUCGGUACUGACGCUCAGGCGCGAAAGCGUGGGGAGCAAACAGG